rnacentral:rRNA from 1 species
UACGAAGGGUGCAAACGUUGCUCGGAAUUAUUGGGCGUAAAGCGCACGUAGGCGGCUUAGCAAGUUGGAUGUGAAAUCCCUCGGCUCAACCAAGGAAGUGCAUCCAAAACUGCUGAGCUUGAGUACUUAAGAGGAUCGCGGAAUUCCCGGUGUAGAGGUGAAAUUCGUAGAUAUUCGCAAGAACACCAGUGGCGAAGGCGGCUCACUGGCCCGAUACUGACGCUGAGGCACGAAAGCGUGGGGAGCGAACAGG